AGCGAACGCUGGCGGCAGGCUUAACACAUGCAAGUCGAGCGGCCACUCUCGGGUGUCAGCGUCGGACGGGUGAGUAACGCGUGGGAACGUGCCCUCUGGUUCGGAUUAACUCUUGGGAACUUGAUCUAAUACCGGAUCCUCCCUUUUGGGCACAGGCUUGCUGCGGGAGGAACGGCCCGCGUCUGAUUAGAUAGUUGGUUAGGUAACGGGGUACCAAGGCAGCGAUCUGUAGCUGGUAUGAGAGAAUGAGCAGACACACUGUGACUGGGACACGGCCCAGAAUAUUAGGGGAGGGAGCAGUGGGGAAUAUAGGAAAACGGGCGCAAGCAAGAACCAGCCAUGCCGGGUGAGUGAUGAAGGCGGUAGAGUAGUAAAGCAGUUUUAUACGGGACGAUAAUGACGGUACCGGAAGAAUAAGCACCGGCUAACUUCGUG
rnacentral:rRNA from 1 species